rnacentral:rRNA from 1 species
UACGUAGGGUGCGAGCGUUGUCCGGAUUUAUUGGGCGUAAAGAGCUCGUAGGCGGUUUGUCGCGUCGGCCGUGAAAUCUCCACGCUUAACGUGGAGCUUGCGGUCGAUACGGGCAGACUUGAGUUCGGUAGGGGAGACUGGAAUUCCUGGUGUAGCGGUGAAAUGCGCAGAUAUCAGGAGGAACACCGGUGGCGAAGGCGGGUCUCUGGGCCGAUACUGACGCUGAGGAGCGAAAGCGUGGGGAGCGAACAGG